AUUGAACGCUGGCGGCAUGCUUUACACAUGCAAGUCGAACGGUAACAGGCCGUCGGGUGCUGACGAGUGGCGAAAGGGGGAGGAAUGCAUCGGAACGUACCCAGAGGCGGGGGAAAACGCAGCGAAAGCUGGGCUAAUACCGCAAGUGAAAUGAGGAUGAAAGCGGGGGACAGAGCAGCAAGGUUUGGCCUGGCGCCUGUGGAAGGGCCGACGACGGAUUAGCUAGUUGGCGGGGUAAAGGCCUACCAAGGCGACGCUCCUUAGCUGGUCUGUGAGGAUGAUCCGCCACACUGGGACUGAGACGCGGCCCAGACUCCUGCGGGAUGCAGCAGUGGGGAAUCUUGGACAGUCGGCGGAAGCCUGAUCCAGCAAUGCCGCGUGAGUGAUGAAGGCCUUAGCGUUGUAAAGCUCUUUUACCCGGGAUGAUAAUGACAGUACCGGGAGAAUAAGCCCCGGCUAACUCCGUG
rnacentral:rRNA from 1 species